rnacentral:ncRNA from 1 species
CAAAGGUUUGGUCCCAGCCUUGAAGUCAAUUAUUACUUAAUAUACACAUGCUAGUUUCCGCACCCCUGUGAAAACGCCCUCAAUUCUUCCCCUAAAGAUAAGGAGCUGGUAUCAGGCACAAAAUAUGCCCAAAACACCUAGCUACGCCACACCCUCAAGGGAAUUCAGCAGUGAUAAACAUUGAACAUAAACGACAGUUUGAUUCAGUUAAAGUAAAUAGAGCCGGCAAAUCUGGUGCCAGCCGCCGCGGUUACACCACGUGACUCAAAUUGAUAUUCCAUCGGCGUAAAGCGUGAUUAAAGCCACCCACAUAAUUCGGAUUAAGCCCCCACUAAGCCGUGACACGCUUGUGUACAGAAAAAUCAAAAACGAAAGUUAUCCUAAUUUUUAACUUGAAUUCACGACAGCUAGGAAACAAACUGGGAUUAGAUACCCCACUAUGCCUAGCCGUAAACUUUUAAUUACCCCCCCCAUCGCCCGGGAACUACGAGCCANNNNNNNNNNNNNNNNNNNNNNNNNNNNNNNNNNNNNNNNNNNNAGGAGCCUGUCCUAUAAUCGAUAACCCCCGCUUAACCCCACCAUUUUUAGUUAAUCAGCCUGUAUACCUCCGUCGUCAGCUUACCACGUGAGCGACAUAAAGUGAGCUUAAUGUCCACUCGCCAUUACGUCAGGUCAAGGUGCAGCAAAUAAAAUGGAAAGAGAUGUGCUACACUUUCUAACAUAGAAAACACGAAAGAUUACCUAUGAAACCUAGUCAGAAGGCGGAUUUAGUAGUAAAAAAAGAUCAGAAAACUCUUUUUAACUUGGCACUGGGGUGUGUACACACCGCCCGUCACCCUCUUCAAAGCUUAUAAAUAGUUAUUAACCAAUCGCUGCUACACAGAAGAGGCAAGUCGUAACAUGGUAAGUAUACCGGAAGGUGUGCUUGGAAA